UUCAUCAGUCGCACGAUGAAGAUGCAGAAAGGCAAGCAGGUUAGAGGCCCUAACACAGAAAAGGUGGCUCGAUUUCCCCUGGUCGUCCUCCUCGGUCAGAUGUGCUUGUUCCAGCCUUAAUUGGUGUGAUGAAGGACUGAUCCUGUCUGGCAGCCAGCAGAAGAGACAGAGACACCCGGGAAGAGCCAGAGAGAGACGAGAGCCUUGGCACUGAGGCGAGCACUUCCCUACGCUCCUCAGAACCUAUUGGACUCUUACUGGUGUCUCACCAGUGACUUUGUUGAGGAUGGAUGGUUCCAGC